GAUAAACGCUGGCGGCGUGCCUAACACAUGCAAGUCGAACGAGAAGUUAACUUCUGAUUCCUUCGGGGAGAUGAAGUUGGCAGAAAGUGGCGAACGGGUGAGUAACGCGUGGGUAAUCUACCCUGUAAGUGGGGGAUAACCCUCCGAAAGGAGGGCUAAUACCGCAUAAUAUCUUCUCCUCUAAAAGAGAAGAAGAUUAAAGAUGGCCUCUGUCUUAAGCUAUCGCUUCAGGAUGAGCCUGCGUCCUAUUAGUUAGUUGGUGGGGUAAUGGCCUACCAAGACGACAAUGGGUAGCCGGUCUGAGAGGAUGUACGGCCACACUGGGACUGAGAUACGGCCCAGACUCCUACGGGAGGCAGCAGUGGGGAAUAUUGCGCAAUGGGGGAAACCCUGACGCAGCGACGCCGCGUGGAUGAUGAAGGCCUUUGGGUUGUAAAAUCCUGUUCUGGGGGAAGAAACCUUAAGGGUCCAAUAAACCCUUAAGCUGACGGUACCC
rnacentral:rRNA from 1 species